UUUUCUUCCCAAUCAUUUUCCGUGAAAGCAACCACGGGAUCAUCGAUUGGCAUUUUUUUCCAGACACUACUCAUCAAUUAUUUUAUUCUUUGGUCCGCACACACGCAUUAAGUAACGGACGGACCUGAUUGUCUGAGAUCCAUCACACUCCCUGUACUUGUGUCUCAGCUUCUUCUUCUGCUCCUCGCUUACCAAAAUCUGGAAUCCAGAUCGGGCGAUUCGCAGUCGGUGUCGUCAAUCCAAUGGCGGUAGCAGCUCGAGGCGGGCGAGGAUCGUUCGGCGGCGGCGGUCUACGCAAUAUCGUCUCGUAUCGGAUCUUUGCCUCCGCCCUGUUCACUAUUCUCUUCAUCGCCACAAUCUCUGUCCUCCUCAACACCAAUCCAGCUCCUCCAUCUCACGACUCUGUGAUCCCGAGCUCCGGCAACGCCUACAUGCAACGGACCUUCCUUGCCCUCAAAUCUGAUCCGCUCAGGACCCGACUCGACCUCAUCCACAAGCAGGCCAACGAUCACAUCACCCUCGUCAACGCCUAUGCGGCCUACGCCCGCAAGCUCAAGCUCGAUAUCUCGCGGCAGCUCCGAAUGUUCGACGAUUUGGCGCGGAAUUUCUCUGAUCUGGCGGCACGGCCUGGACCGAGGACGGCGCCGGAGGAUGAGGUGGAGGGGACGGGGGACGAGGACCUUGUGAGGCAGUUGGAGAAGGAGGUGAAGGACAGGGUGAAGAUCGCGAGGCUUAUGAUUGCUGAGUCGAAGGAGUCGUAUGAUAAUCAGAUCAAGAUUCAGAAGUUGAAAGAUACUAUUUUUUCUGUGAAUGAGUUGCUGGUGAAGGCGAAGAAGAAUGGGCAGGUUGCAAGUUUGAUUGCCGCGAAGUCUAUUCCGAAGAGUCUGCAUUGUUUGGCGAUGAGAUUGGUGGAGGAGAGAAUUGCGCAUCCAGACAAGUAUACGGAGGAAGAGGACAGUGCUGAGUUUGAGGAUCCGAGUUUGUACCAUUAUGCUAUAUUUUCGAAUAAUGUGAUUGCAGUGUCGGUGGUGGUGAAUUCUGCGGUGAAGAAUGCUCAGGAGCCAUGGAAGCAUGUUUUCCAUGUGGUAUCGGAUCGAAUGAAUGUUGCCGCCAUGAAGGUUUGGUUUAAGAUGAGGCCGGUCGGAGGAGGAGCACGUGUGGAGGUGAAAGCAGUGGAGGAUUAUGCGUUUUUAAAUUCUUCAUAUGUGCCGGUGCUUAGACAAAUGGAGUCGGCGAAUUAUGGGGAUAAUGCAAAACUAAGGAACCCCAAUUACUCAUUGCUGAAUCACCUUCGGUUUUAUUUGCCUGAGAUGUACCCGAAGCUGCACCGCAUUUUGUUUUUGGAUGAUGAUGUGGUUGUUCAGAAGGACCUAUCAGCCUUGUGGAGGAUUGAUUUGGAUGGAAAGGUGAAUGGGGCUGUUGAGACUUGCUUCGGCUCAUUUCAUCGUUAUGCCCACUAUUUGAACUUCUCGAAUUCUGUCAUUAGGGAGAAGUUCAACCCCAAGGCUUGUGCCUGGGCAUAUGGGAUGAAUAUAUUUGAUCUUGACGCUUGGAGGCGUGAAAAAUGCACGGACCAGUAUCAUUAUUGGCAAAACUUGAAUGAGGAUGGGACGCUAUGGAAAUCGGGGAUGCUUCCGCCUGGCCUGAUCACAUUUUACUCAACAACAAAAUCAUUGGACAAAUCUUGGCAUGUACUGGGACUUGGGUACAAUCCAAGUAUUAGCAUGGAUGAGAUCAACCAUGCUGCAGUGAUUCAUUUUAAUGGAAACAUGAAACCUUGGCUUGAUAUUGCCAUUAACCAAUUUAAGAAUCUCUGGACAAAAUAUGUGGACAAUGAUAUGGAGUUUGUGCAGGUGUGCAAUUUUGGCCUCUAGAUGAGUACCUGUACCACCCCAACAACGAUGAGGUAACAGAGAAAAUGAGUUGCAGUAAUUGUUCAUUCCGGGUUACACAUUCUUUCAAGGUUUUGGAUGCCAUCAUUAGUUGUAAUUCUCAGGGCGAAGCUCAGUGGUGGUAUCAUUGUUUUGCUUUCCAUGGAUAAUUGUUCCCCCAACAUUUUGGAGGGUUUAUGGCUCAGGGGGUGGGGGUUGGAGAUUGUGGGGUGUGGAAUACUGAAUACCAAAGAGAGGAACCUGUCUCACAAAGAUCAAACUUGAAAUUCCCCACUUUGACACAAUUGUAGUUGUUUGUUUGGUGAAUUGAUUUUACUUUGCAAGUACAAUAUCUUUACUUAUUUCUCAUUGUUAUUCAUUAAUGGUAGUUUUUAAUGCAAAGCAGGUGAGGCAAUACCACAUCUUGACAGGUUUUAAUGCAAGGCAUGUUUUUAUUUUGGUUUUCUCCUUGUUUUUGUUUUUUUUUCUUCUUCUCUGUUUUGUUUUAUUUUGUUUUGUUUUGUUUUUUCUUUGUAUUUGUCAGUAGCAAAAGUAUGACUUUCUAGAGUAUGAUUUCAAUUAUCAGAACAACAAUAAUAGUGAUUGUAGUGUAUGUGCUAAAAUAUUUUUAAAGUUGAAUGUACAGCCUAUACCUUAUGGUUGC